UAAACACCAAACGCGGAAUAACCGAACUCAUACAUUUGCGGAGGUUAUGGUCACAAAUGACACUGCACACGCGACGAUCCGCGGCUCAUGUGAAUCGUGCUGGGUAAAACGGCGAAGCGCCUGGAGCCCGGCCUCAUGGACGAGAUGAAUACGUUAGGGCGUGCAGAUGGCGCGGGAGCGACUGUUUCGGCCGGCUUCGACUCAUGCCGACCGACUGUUCAUCGCGAAUUUUUCGAACUCGAAUGAAUCUUUAGGUUAGGUUUCGUAACGACUCACGACUUCACGUGUCACGUGAACUUGUGUUCCGCGGAUUCUCAAUCUCUGGACACCGUGUUCGUAGACCCAAAUGCAUGGAUAUGUUGUGUUAUAUAUUUAAUCGCCACAGUGAUAAGAAAAUGGUUGUGUGCCUCCCGGGACAAUUGCGUUAUAUGAUACUUUACGAGCAGCCGAGACGUACGUUGUUCUUAUUCCUUCUUCCUCUCCCAGUAAUGGUGGCUGGAGUUACAAAAAAACAUCAAUAAAAAUAUGUUUUG